UUCAAAAAUUAUUUUGGACGAUAUCGAUUUCUGUGAAACGAAAUGCAUUCUUCGAAAUACAUUCUUUUCUUUUUCUCGAAUUAGUAAGAAUAAGAAUUUAAACGAAAGAUUGCUCGUGAGAGAAUAAUAAAAUGGCGACAAAUUCAAAAAUUGGUUGGACUAUAUGUUGAAUCGAUUGAACUGUGAAACGAAAUACAAUACACGACGAGAAGUAUUACGUUCAACUGCUACACCAAAUAUAAAUUUCACGUAUGUAUGAAUAUUUGGAAAAUCAGUACACGUGCAUUUAAGAUCGAGAAAGAAAGAAUCCCGUCGGGAGUCGGAAACUUCUCCAAUUUUCUCGUCCGAACAGCCUGGAAUGUCGCGGAAAGUUCAUCUCGUCGAAUAUCGGACAUCGCCUUCCUCCACAAUUUUUCUUUCCCUCCACGCGCUAAUCGAACAGCAAUUUGCAAAGAACAAUGAUAGAAAUCGAUCUAUCAAUUUUUCAUCCAACGAGAGAAAUUAUUGCAACAUUAUCCGAUAAACGUUGCAAGAAGUAAAAGUGUAAACUUUGCAAUAUAUCAAUUGAUACAUUUUGUCUUUUUUUUUCUUUUUUUUUUUUUUUUUUUGAAUGACGAUCGAAAAUAAUCAACAGGUGGCGAGCAUACGAGAGAAAAAACUAUAUAAAUUAUCGUUACGCAGAAACGGAAUGACGAACGUAAUAAAUAACGCGUAAACUGAUGAAUAUUAAAGCGUGAAUAUUAUUUUAUACAACAAUCAAGACACUUAAGAACGAUGUUAGAAGAAUGAUGAACGAAUCUUUACUUUACGCGACACGUGUUGAAUCGAAUAGAUUGCACACCGAACAAGAAAGCUCGAAAAUAAUAACUACUUAUUAUCGAAGCAGUCACAAAUAUCGUCGACAUCUAACGAAAUAAUUUUCCUCGAAAAAAAAAACUCUCGAAGAGCAAAUGUGCAGGCUUUCGAACAUUCGAGCGUAUAAUUUUCAAUCGAACGAUACACGAUAUCGGUUCAGAAACAAGCGAGAGGGGUAUUAAAACCUCGGGGAAAGAGAUUUGAAUAAUUGGUGAGGAAUUCAUGAAUUUAGCUCGAUGAUCGUUCAAAGUGCCGCCCGUAAUUAUCCUUAAUGGGCGAUAAUAUUAGGUUGACGCGCAUAUGGAACCAUUUUUAGACAUUCUUAUCGCGACGUUUACACGCGUAUCGCGAUCGAAACUCGCUAUAAAUUCCAACCUCCUCCUUCCUUCAAUACUUUCGCAAUAGCGAUGAAGAAAAUCGGGGGCUACGGAUUUCCCUUUUCCUUCUUUUCCUCUUCUCUUCUCUUCAAUUAUAAUACGAGCUACCUGGAUUCGACUUGGUUCCUGAUUUUCGAUCGAAUCCACGAUUUGAGAAGACAGAAGUAAAUAUUUGGAUGAGGAACCACCACGUAUACAUAUCUCGUUUGUCUUAUUAACCCGCCCUCUACACACGCUUUAAUAAACGGAGAAUAAUAACGGAUGAUUCCGAAUGUAUCGGUCUAAUGCGCAUAAUUGUUUGCCUAGCAACAGCUCAUUACCCAAAUAUACGAUGGAUGGAUCGACACACGUCACGCAUCAUUCCAACUGUUAUGGAUUUAACGGUAGCCUUUGGCUUUGUUUGAACGAAAUUUCUCUUCGAGGGGGGGUUGUGUUGAAGAUAGAUAUUAAAAAAGAAGAGGAAGAAGAAAGGAAAAAAUCUUAUUACCAGUGAGAAUUUAUUUCCAAGGAUGAUACGGAUACGAAAAUUUACUCUCGAAAGGGAGGGGGGAAGAAAAAUUUAUGGAGCUAAAUGGGCCCCAUGGGUGGUAUUACGAGUCAAUCUUAUUCCUUUCCCCUUUACGUAUUUACGACGAAAAAAUUAGCUUUUAAAAUUUUACCGCCAAGGGAUUUUAAUCGACGACAAAUAUUUUGCGAUUGCGUAUUUUAAUAAUUCUAACGUGUCUCUCUGCGAAGAAAGAAUCCCUUCUCUCGACAAACUCUCGAGAAUAUUAUUUUCACAGGAGAAGUAAAUAUCGUCUGAAGAAAGUAGUAUUCCCGUGAAUUGGAUGAGAAUAAAAUGAGGAAUCGUGACGAGGAAUCGUGUAUCGUGGAGAACUACGAAAAAAGAAGGAAGGAAGGAAGGAAAGAAAUAGGCGAGAAACGAUUGCCAUUACUUGCUCCAACCGAUUCGAACACCGUGCCAGAUGGUGGCAAUAUGGUGGCGCGUGACGCUACCGCCACCGAUUUUCUCAUAAACCGAGUUCGCUGUCAUCUCGUUCCGUCAACUUCCCUCGAAGGAAAUAUAAACUCGAUUCCGUCGUGUAGUUGCGAUCGAAGUUGUGAAAUUAACGUGUAAAAUCGUGGUGUACACGAGGAGCGCUAUUUCCGCACUUGGUGUUCCCAGGCUCUUGUCUAUUACAGAAGAUGGUGGGUUAUGUUCCACGCUGGCGCAGAUAUAGGACGAUUAAGCUACAACAAUGGAGCCUUAACGGAUGCAUAUAAUCGAGUCUGCCGUGCGUCAGUUAUCCCCAGUGAAGCUUCCAGGAACCUAGACUUGCCACUCGAAAGGCGACGAAUUCCUAGGAAAAGGAGAAGGAUAUCGCGCGAGAAAUUUUGCUUUCGACGAAAUUUCAUCGAUUGAUAUCGAAAGAACUCGCGAAGAAGAUCCCAAAGGCACUUGGAAUCCUUCCUCUCUCUUGCGUGAAAUCGUAAAAUAUCUAUUUUGGGUUUACGUUUCACUGACGAUUAAGCUACAACAAUGGAGCCUUAACGGGUGCAUAUAAUCGAGUCUAUUGCCGUGCAUCAGUUAUUCGUGAAGCUUGCAGGAACCAAGACUUGCCACUCGAGACGAAAUUCUGAGCGAAAAGAGAAGGAUAUCGCACGAGAAAUUUUACUUUCGACGAAAUUUUAUCAGCUACUACCGAAAGAACUCGCGAAAAAAAGACUAAAACACUUGGCAUCCCUGCAUGAAAUUAUAAAAUAUCAAUUUUGAAGGGCUCUAAUAUCAAUGUAAAGCUUCUAGAAACUGAAACUUGCCACUUUCCAACAAAAAUGAAACGAAAGAAAAAGAUAUCGCGCGAGAAAUUUUACUUUUGACAAAUUUAUCAACUACUAGAACUACUAGAUCAAUUAUCAACUACUGAAAGAAAAAGGACCUAAAAGCACUUGGCAUUCCUGCGUAAAAUUGUAGAAUAUCAAUUUUGAAGGGCUCAAUAUCAGUGUGAAGCUUCCAGGAACCGAAACUUGCCACUCGAGACGAAUUCCAAGCAAAAAUGAAACGGAAGAAAAA